CGGCGGACGGGUGAGUAACACGUGGGUAACCUACCUAUAAGACUGGGACAACUUCGGGAAACCGGAGCUAAUACCGGAUAAGAUAUCGAACCGCAUGGUUCGAUAGUGAAAGAUGGUUUUGCUAUCACUUAUAGAUGGACCCGCGCCGUAUUAGCUAGUCGGUGAGGUAACGGCUCACCAAGGCAACGAUACGUAGCCGACCUGAGAGGGUGAUCGGCCACACUGGAACUGAGACACGGUCCAGACUCCUACGGGAGGCAGCAGUG
rnacentral:rRNA from 1 species